CUCGGCUGCCCGCGCCAUCGCAAAGCUGUUCAUCGGUCUCUCCUCCCUCGCCAUUCAGCAUGCUUCUCGAGAGCUGGACUCGCGACGAUGACAUCGAGGUACGUGAAACGAACGAGAUCAAGAUGCGCCUUCGGAUGAUAUCCGCCCUGGAGGGCUCAACCAGCGCCUUCCUGUUCCUCGGGUUCGAUAAACCCUAAGAUCUUCCUGUUCUUAGGGUUAACAUUUGGAAUUUUGAUCGAAUCUUGAAGGUUUUUGGUGCGAUUGUUUCAGCGUCUCUUGUUCUGUUCGAAAGAUUCGUCCCAAGAUUUACUUAGGGCUUGACGUUGUGUUGUUCAAUCCUGCAUCGUUCUUUCAGUUGGAGGUUCGCAGAUGUGUUGACCGUGGGCGAUCUCUUCCGGCGAGCUAUGCGCCACUGGCGUACGAACCUUGGACCACUGGAACUCGAGGCUGCGUUGAGGAUCCUCAAUACUAUUGUACAUCUGCAAAUUGCAACCUGUUCACUAUUAGAUUACUGACAGAUUGACAGAAAAGCACAGAGUUCAAAGAGAUGCUGAAAUUGGAUGGUUUGGAAUGUCCUGCUAUCAAUGGAAAAUUGGGAACGAGAAGGAUGAGAGUGGAGCUCUUAAAAUUUGAGAGAACAACAUGCGAAUAUGUAACUACGUGUACAUUCCCCAGUUAUGGAAGAUACAAGUAUCACUAUUUGGACAUUAUGCCUUCGAAGGACCAUCAACUUCCACAGGCAUAAAAUCUGGUACGUCCAACUCAACAGACUUUGGCUGUCCUGUGGCAGAACAGCACAUGUAUGGCCAGUGUUGCUGCACGAGGUGCUCAAAACAUCCACUCCGAAGUGAUGCGUAAGUUGGCGAAUCUCCGGUAUAUCGAAGCAACAAGGUGUAGCAGAUCCACUCCGACCUCUAAGGCCUUACGUCCCCAGUGGGCGGUGGGAGGAGCCGGGAAGGGAGGUUCGGCCACCAUAAAGAAAAGCAAAGCAGGCAAAGCCAAGUGCUGGCAAAAGGGUCGCCAUCUGAACUAGCGUGGCAAGAAAACGUGUGGUGGUAUCGGAGAUUCUAGGAGAUAAGAAGACAUCUGACAAAGGAAGAAAUAGAAAGGGUCCUCCUUUCCUCACCUUCGCUCUCCAUGCUUUAGUAAUUCUGUCUUUCUUGCCUCUCCAGCUUGUCGAUCAAUACAAGAUUUCUUCCUAGAAUUGUUCUGUUGCUGGUUCUGUUGUAGAAAUGUUGUUGACUCGGUUACCAAGUUGUGGAAGGAGUGACGGAGGUAUGGUUCAUCUUUAUUCCCUCCGCUUUACAUA